AUGUGGUGCUACUCUAGGAGGGUGCACGGUGAAGGUGAGUACGCUGGAGCAUCAGAUUCAGAUCUGACGGUGGAUAUGGAAGGGUGCAUCAUAAGACCGAUAGAGGGGUGCAUAUUUGAACCGUUGGAUCUGAUGUUUACACCUUUUGAGAUCUUGAAAGGGAAAAAUGAAACCAUAGGAUCUCACAAACAAAUAUCUGAUGGUGAUGAUGCGAUUGACGCGCGAUCGAUGAUAAACACUACUUCUGAGUUUACUUUGGUGAGAUCCUUCUGA